ensembl:snoRNA
ACAGGCACCUAUCGAAGCCGUUCCUGCUCAUUUUGUAGCGGACUCGGUCAACAGGAUGCCGAAAACAUUACUUUCACCGACGGUCGCUGUGCAGUUCCACAAUAACUGACACCGCAACAUUAAGGGGAAGGACAUUC